ensembl:lncRNA
CAUUCACCCCCCCUCCCCCAGUUACGCCCAUCACAAUACAAACGGACAAAUGUCCACAUGAAUGUUAGUAAUGUUCACCAGCCAUGCAUACAGCGUAGCAGCAGUACGGCCCAUCUUUGGAAUAAGGAAUAUGUUGUUCCUAUAAACGUACUAAUGGUUGAUGAUCUCUGGCAACCAGUAGUAGUUGUUAAAGUGUCUUCCUGCCUGUCACCCGUUCCGCCGUUACCAGCUGAUCCCGAAGACCAACCAGGACACUGACGCGGCAUCUAAACCCCAGGAACUGUGUGUGCUGCCCGGGGAGACGACAGGAGGACUCUGGGGGGACGACGCUCCAGCAGACGGCAGUGAUCUCAGGACCUCGGGCCGUGCCAGGGAAAACACAGAGCCUGUGAGUGAAGGUUCCAUCAGACAGGAUGAAAGCCAGAUCCCUCCAGUCCUCCGGCACAGGAAGGCCGCUCGCUCCACCGAGUCCACGGGCGAUCGGCCAGCUGUGACAGCAGCGAGCAGCGGAGACGACAAUGGCGACUCCGACUCCGGGUGCAGUGACAGCUGGGAGCUCUACGUGCUGCUGCUGCUCUGGCUGCUGCUCUACUGCUUCUGGCUGCUGCCCCAGAUGGACCUGAAGACACUUCCCAGCCUGCUGCUCAACCUGGAGCCCUGAACGCACACACACACACACACACACACACACACACACGUAAAGCACCACCACCAAAUCGCACACUACAGUCCUGAAGAGGAGGAGUUGUUUUAGCUUUGUGCUGUGCAGCUUUCCAUGUGGCUCGGAGGCGUCUGUAUCUCCACGUUCUGGGGAAUAUUAUGAGAAAAGCGUUGUCGUUUUACAGGAUGAAAAGUCAUAACUUAUCAACAAUAACGUUUGAACUAUUCGUUAAGUCAGAUUAAAA